rnacentral:lncRNA from 1 species
GCCAUCGUUACUCUGCCUCAUAGCUGGAAGCUGGGGGCCAGGUGGUAGGGACGAUGGGGCUUGUUGGAACAGCUUUGGAUUAGGAUUGGGUGAUAAGACGGGCGGACGGGUUCGGCACUGGGCCAACUGUUAGGCAUGAGAGGAAAUUCGUUCUGAGUGUCCUUCGUCCCGUGGUCGGCGUCACAUGCCGUUGGUUUGUGAGGGUUGUUGCCCAGGAACAUCGCAGGCGCGUGUACUUGGGACGGAGAUGGGAUGGUGGCUGAGUUGGAGUGGUGAUAUGGCCGUGGUUGGUUGGAGUGGGGCCUGACCCAGAUGGUGCUUGGGCGGAGAGCACUGGAGGACCCUUUCCUCGCGCCACUGUCUCAUGAGGUCACCUGGCCCAAGGAUUACCUGGCAUUGUCAUCAGGGAAGGAAGGAAGGAUUCCACAGAUGGGAUGGCUUUCAGGAGCAGCGGGUGAUAGUGGUCGGGUGCAAUUUGGCGUAAACUGUUGCUGAUAUGAUCGGUCUCCAUUUAGUUCCAACGGUUCCUAACCGACUUAUGAGGCCAUGGCUAAGUGGCAUUUGAGCUUAAGCUUGGCCGCCCUGGAGAAUAUUUAUGGCGACGGGUUAUGGUUUUGCCACUUCCCCUCAGGCUGUCUUUGUAUAAACCUAUAAACGAUUCCUU